rnacentral:rRNA from 1 species
AGAGUUUGAUCCUGGCUCAGGAUGAACGCUAGCGGCAGGCUUAAUACAUGCAAGUCGAGGGGCAGCACGGGGAGCAAUACCUGGUGGCGACCGGCGCACGGGUGCGUAACGCGUAUGUAAUCUACCAUUAACCGGGGAACAGCCCAGAGAAAUCUGGAUUAAUGCCCCAUAGUAUUAUCGAAAGGCAUCUUUUGAUUGAUAAUUAAAGCUCAGGCGUUUUUGAUGUACAUGCGUGUCAUUAGUUUGUUGGUGAGGUAACGGCUCACCAAGACUACGAUGACUAGGGGGUCUGAGAGGAUGAUCCCCCACACUGGUACUGAGACACGGAUCAAACUCUUACGGGAGGCAGCAGUGAGGAAUAUUGGACAAUGGAUGGAAAUCUGAUCCCGCCAUGCCGCGUGAAGGAUGAAUGUCCUAUGGAUUGUAAACUUCCUUUGCAUGGGAAUAAAGUGAGCUACGUGUAGCUUAUUGUAUGUACCAUAAGAAUAAGCAUCGGCUAACUACGUGCCAGCAGCCGCGGUAAUACGGAGGAUGCGAGCGUUAUCCGGAAUUACUGGGCGUAAAGGGUGCGUAGGUUGAAAGUUAAGUCUAUAGUGAAAGUCUCGAGCUCAACCGGGAUACUGCCAUAGAAACUGAUAGACUUGAGUGCAGGANNNNNAGGCGGAAUGUGUAAUGUAGCGGUAAAAUGCGUAGAGAUUUGGAGGAAUAUCGAUUGCGAAGGCGGUUGCCUGGCCUGUAACUGACGCUGAAGCUCGAAAGCGUGGGGAUCAAACAGGAUUAGAUACCCUGGUAGUCCACGCCGUAAACGAUGAUUACUAAGUGUUGGAGAAAUUCAGUGCUGCAGUUAACGCAAUAAGUAUUCCGCCUGGGGAGUAUGCACGCAAGUGUGAAACUCAAAGGAAUUGACGGGAGCCCGCACAAGCGGUGGAGUAUGUGGUUUAAUUCGACGCAACGCGAAGAACCUUACCAGGCCUUGACAUACUCGGCAAAGCUCUAGAGAUAGAGUGGAGGUUAUCUGGGAGACAGGUGGUGCAUGGUUGUCGUCAGCUCGUGUCGUGAGAUGUUGGGUUAAGUCCCGCAACGAGCGCAACCCCUAUAGCUAGUUGCCAGCAUUAAGUUGGGCACUCUAGCAGAACUGCCAUUGAUAAAAUGGAGGAAGGUGGGGAUGACGUCAAAUCAUCAUGCCCCUUAUGUCCUGGGCUACACACGUACUACAAUGGCCUGAACAGAGGGAAGCAAAACUGUGAAGUUAAGCGAAUCCCUAAAAACAGGUCCCAGUUCGGAUUGCAGGCUGAAACUCGCCUGCAUGAAGUCGGAGUUGCUAGUAAUCGCGGAUCAGCAUGCCGUGGUGAAUGCGUUCCCGGGUCUUGUACACGCCGCCCGUCAAACCACGAAAGUCGGCAACACCCGAAGCCGGUGAUCCAACCGUAAGGAGGAAGCUGUCGAAGGUAAAACCAAUGACUGGGGUGAAGUCGUAACAAGGUAACC